AUUGAACGCUGGCGGCAUGCCUUACACAUGCAAGUCGAACGGCAGCACGGGGGCAACCCUGGUGGCGAGUGGCGAACGGGUGAGUAAUGCAUCGGAACGUGCCCAGUAGUGGGGGAUAACCAGUCGAAAGACUGGCUAAUACCGCAUACGACCCAAGGGUGAAAGCGGGGGACCGUAAGGCCUCGCGCUAUUGGAGCGGCCGAUGUCUGAUUAGCUAGUUGGCGGGGUAAGAGCCCACCAAGGCGACGAUCAGUAGCUGGUCUGAGAGGACGACCAGCCACACUGGGACUGAGACACGGCCCAGACUCCUACGGGAGGCAGCAGUGGGGAAUUUUGGACAAUGGGCGCAAGCCUGAUCCAGCCAUGCCGCGUGCGGGAAGAAGGCCUUCGGGUUGUAAACCGCUUUUGGCAGGAACGAAACGGCGCAGGCCAAUACCUUGCGCUAAUGACGGUACCUGCAGAAUAAGCACCGGCUAACUACGUGCCAGCCGCCGCAGUAAAAC
rnacentral:rRNA from 1 species